rnacentral:rRNA from 1 species
GCCAGACUCCUACGGGAGGCAGCAGUGGGGAAUAUUGCACAAUGGGGGAAACCCUGAUGCAGCGACGCCGCGUGAGUGAAGAAGUAUUUCGGUAUGUAAAGCUCUAUCAGCAGGAACGAGACAAGACGGUACCUGACUAAGAAGCCCCGGCUAACUACGUGCCAGCAGCCGCGGUAAUACGUAGGGGGCAAGCGUUAUCCGGAAUCACUGGGUGUAAAGGGAGCGUAGACGGCUGAGCAAGCCUGAAGUGAAAGGCGGGGGCCCAACCCCCGGACUGCUUUGGGAACUGUACGGCUGGAGUGCAGGAGAGGUAAGUGGAAUUCCUAGUGUAGCGGUGAAAUGCGUAGAUAUUAGGAGGAACACCAGUGGCGAAGGCGGCUUACUGGACUGUAACUGACGUUGAGGCUCGAAAGCGUGGGGAGCAAACAGGAUUAGAUACCCGAGUAC